rnacentral:rRNA from 1 species
UAACGUGGACCCGUGAUCCGGGUUGCGGACAGUGUCUGGUGGGUAGUUUGACUGGGGCGGUCUCCUCCUAAAGAGUAACGGAGGAGCACGAAGGUUGGCUAAUCCUGGUCGGACAUCAGGAGGUUAGUGCAAUGGCAUAAGCCAGCUUGACUGCGAGCGUGACGGCGCGAGCAGGUGCGAAAGCAGGUCAUAGUGAUCCGGUGGUUCUGAAUGGAAGGGCCAUCGCUCAACGGAUAAAAGGUACUCCGGGGAUAACAGGCUGAUACCGCCCAAGAGUUCAUAUCGACGGCGGUGUUUGGCACCUCGAUGUCGGCUCAUCACAUCCUGGGGCUGAAGUAGGUCCCAAGGGUAUGGCUGUUCGCCAUUUAAAGUGGUACGCGAGCUGGGUUUAGAACGUCGUGAGACAGUUC